rnacentral:rRNA from 1 species
UACGUAGGGUGCAAGCGUUGUCCGGAAUUAUUGGGCGUAAAGAGCUCGUAGGCGGUUCGUCGCGUCGGCUGUGAAAACCCGGAGCUCAACUCCGGGCCUGCAGUGGGUACGGGCAGACUAGAGUGCGGUAGGGGAGACUGGAAUUCCUGGUGUAGCGGUGAAAUGCGCAGAUAUCAGGAGGAACACCGGUGGCGAAGGCGGGUCUCUGGGCCGUAACUGACGCUGAGGAGCGAAAGCAUGGGGAGCGAACAGG